rnacentral:rRNA from 1 species
GAUGAAGGCCCUAGGGUUGUAAAGCUCUGUUAGUGGGGAAGAAGGCUUCCGGUGCUAAUAUCAUCAGAUUCAAGACGGUACCUGCAGAGGAAGCUCCGGCUAACUCCGUGCCAGCAGCCGCGGUAAUACGGAGGGAGCGAGCGUUGUCCGGAUUUAUUGGGCGUAAAGGGCAUGUAGGCGGUACAGCAAGUCAGAGGUGAAAUGUCACGGCUCAACCGAGGACCUGCCUUUGAAACUACUGAUCUUGAGUCCUGGAGAGGGAAACGGAAUUCCUAGUGUAGCGGUGAAAUGCAUAGAUAUCCGGAAGAACACCGGUGGCGAAGGCGGCUUUCUGGACAGGUACUGACGCUGAGGUGCGAAAGCGUGG